AGUGAACGCUGGCGGUAGGCCUAACACAUGCAAGUCGAACGGCAGCACAGAGGAGCUUGCUCCUUGGGUGGCGAGUGGCGGACGGGUGAGGAAUACAUCGGAAUCUACUCUGUCGUGGGGGAUAACGUAGGGAAACUUACGCUAAUACCGCAUACGACCUACGGGUGAAAGCAGGGGACCUUCGGGCCUUGCGCGAUUGAAUGAGCCGAUGUCGGAUUAGCUAGUUGGCGGGGUAAAGGCCCACCAAGGCGACGAUCCGUAGCUGGUGUGAGAGGAUGAUCAGCCACACUGGAAAUGAGACACGGUCCAGACUCCUACGGGAGGCAGCAGUGGGUAAUAUUGGACAAUGGGCGCAAGCCUGAUCCAGCCAUACCGCGUGGGUGAAGAAGGCCUUCGGGUUGUAAAGCCCUUUUGUUGGGAAAGAAAUCCAGCUGGCUAAUACCCGGUUGGGAUGACGGUACCCAAAGAAUAAGCACCGGCUAACUUCGUGCCAGCCGCCGCAGUAA
rnacentral:rRNA from 1 species